rnacentral:rRNA from 1 species
UGCAAGUCGAACGAUGAUCCCAGCUUGCUGGGGGAUUAGUGGCGAACGGGUGAGUAACACGUGAGUAACCUGCCCUUAACUCUGGGAUAAGCCUGGGAAACUGGGUCUAAUACCGGAUAUGACUCCUCAUCGCAUGGUGGGGGGUGGAAAGCUUUAUUGUGGUUUUGGAUGGACUCGCGGCCUAUCAGCUUGUUGGUGAGGUAAUGGCUCACCAAGGCGACGACGGGUAGCCGGCCUGAGAGGGUGACCGGCCACACUGGGACUGAGACACGGCCCAGACUCCUACGGGAGGCAGCAGUGGGGAAUAUUGCACAAUGGGCGAAAGCCUGAUGCAGCGACGCCGCGUGAGGGAUGACGGCCUUCGGGUUGUAAACCUCUUUCAGUAGGGAAGAAGCGAAAGUGACGGUACCUGCAGAAGAAGCGCCGGCUAACUACGUGCCAGCAGCCGCGGUAAUACGUAGGGCGCAAGCGUUAUCCGGAAUUAUUGGGCGUAAAGAGCUCGUAGGCGGUUUGUCGCGUCUGCCGUGAAAGUCCGGGGCUCAACUCCGGAUCUGCGGUGGGUACGGGCAGACUAGAGUGAUGUAGGGGAGACUGGAAUUCCUGGUGUAGCGGUGAAAUGCGCAGAUAUCAGGAGGAACACCGAUGGCGAAGGCAGGUCUCUGGGCAUUAACUGACGCUGAGGAGCGAAAGCAUGGGGAGCGAACAGGAUUAGAUACCCUGGUAGUCCAUGCCGUAAACGUUGGGCACUAGGUGUGGGGGACAUUCCACGUUUUCCGCGCCGUAGCUAACGCAUUAAGUGCCCCGCCUGGGGAGUACGGCCGCAAGGCUAAAACUCAAAGGAAUUGACGGGGGCCCGCACAAGCGGCGGAGCAUGCGGAUUAAUUCGAUGCAACGCGAAGAACCUUACCAAGGCUUGACAUGAACCGGAAACACCUGGAAACAGGUGCCCCGCUUGCGGUCGGUUUACAGGUGGUGCAUGGUUGUCGUCAGCUCGUGUCGUGAGAUGUUGGGUUAAGUCCCGCAACGAGCGCAACCCUCGUUCUAUGUUGCCAGCGCGUUAUGGCGGGGACUCAUAGGAGACUGCCGGGGUCAACUCGGAGGAAGGUGGGGACGACGUCAAAUCAUCAUGCCCCUUAUGUCUUGGGCUUCACGCAUGCUACAAUGGCCGGUACAAAGGGUUGCGAUACUGUGAGGUGGAGCUAAUCCCAAAAAGCCGGUCUCAGUUCGGAUUGGGGUCUGCAACUCGACCCCAUGAAGUCGGAGUCGCUAGUAAUCGUAGAUCA